AUGCCUCCCACCUUCCUGCUGCUGUCGCUGCUGCUCCUGCGGCUCCAGGGCCCUGUCUCAGGUGCCCCCAUGGAGAGUGUGUACUUAAAAUUGCAGCACUUCGAAGGGGAGACUCUGUCUGUGCAGUGCUCCUACAAGAGCCGUAAAAACCACGUGGAGGGUAAGGUUUGGUGCAAAAUCAGGAGGAGAAAGUGCGAGACUGGGUUCACCCGUGUCGGGGUGCAGGGGCCACGCUACUUGCUGCAGGACGAUACCCAGGCCAAGGUGGUCAACGUCACCAUGGCGGCCCUCAGGCACCAGGACUCAGGCCGGUACUGGUGCAUGCGCAACAGCUCUGGCAUCCUCUACCCUCUGAUGGGCUUCCUGCUGGAAGUGUCUCCAGCCUCCAGAACCAAGGGAAACACUCCUCUCAUAAAGCUGCCCAACAUCCUCCAGAGUGAAACCGUUGUCGCCACAGGCCCUGUGCCCACCUCAGGCUUUGGGGGCCCUUUCAUCAGCCAGGCGACAGCGUUCACAGCUGGACUCCUCACCUUGGCCAGACCACUGCCUUCUCCCACCUCAGGGAGCACCAGACUGACUUCUGUGAUGGGCUCCAGUUUCUCCAGCACUGGCCUGUCCACCAUGGGGCCCGGGAGGGCCACCGGGUCCCAGACAGCAACUGCAUCUCCUAGCAACACCCGAGCCUCCGCUGCAGGCCCAGGCUCCACCUCCACUAAGGCCGCGCACCUCUGCACCGUGGGAGCCCCCACCAUGGGAAUGUGCCCCACCAGCAGAACUCUCCUCAACCACUUAUUCCCCAGCAGAUACCUGGACUUUUAUCCCAUGGUGCUCGUGGGGGUGCUGGUGCUGCUCUCCAUGCUUGUGAUGCUGAUCGCAGUCUACAGCUUCUGGAAGAAGAGACACAUGGGAAGAUACAGCAUAUGCCAUGACCCUGCCAGAUCCUGGAAGGACUCGCCUGCAAGACUGGAAUCUCUGGAGGCCCGCUUGAUCUGA
rnacentral:lncRNA from 1 species